rnacentral:misc_RNA from 1 species
AUCAAACGCUCUUCUUCUCUCAGCGUCUUGCAUUACAUCAACCUAUACAUACAGCGACACAGAUUUCCCAAUAUAAAUUAUGGCAAGCGUAAGCAGAAAGAUGUCAAGAAAGGAGACUAGAAACCGUCACCCUGGGCUUACACAGCAGAAAAGGCAAGAGAUCAAAGAAGCAUUCGAGCUCUUUGACACCGAUGGCUCUGGAACUAUUGAUGCCAGUGAGCUGAAUGUUGCUAUGAGGGCCCUUGGAUUUGAAAUGACAGAGGAGCAAGUUGAGCAAAUGAUUGCUGAUGUCGACAAGGAUGGUAGUGGUGCAAUUGAUUUUGAUGAAUUUGUGCACAUGAUGACUGCCAAGUUUGGAGAAAGGGACACUAAAGAAGAGCUCAUGAAGGCAUUUCACAUUAUUGAUCAAGAUAAAAAUGGGAAAAUAUCUUUUGCGGACAUUCAAAGAAUCGCUGAUGAGUUGGGGGAGCGAUUUACUGACAGAGAAAUCCAGGAAAUGAUAGAAGAGGCAGAUCGUGAUCGUGAUGGAGAGGUUAACGUUGAAGACUACAUGAGAAUGAUGAGGAGAACCAAUUUCGGGCAUUAAGGAGUUUCAUUACUGCACCAGAUAAAUCGGAGGAUAUAUAUUUACCAACUCUAAUAUAUUAUAAUUAUUUUGUGGAUCAAAAUGGACGACCAGUCUGUAGUCUGUACCCAGUUAAUUAUGGAAUGUGUAUUAUCUAAGUUUGUAAGCAAGCAACUACUACGUCUUGUUUGACAUAAUUGUGUAUGGGAAAAAUUGUAUGAAAUAGCAAAUAUUUAAUUCAGAUUAAAUGCCAUAGCUACAAUUCAGCUGUAUUUUUUCCAAUUUGCAGCUGCUAUUCA